rnacentral:tRNA from 1 species
GCCAGUGUGGUAUAGUGGUUUGAGCAAUGGACUAUGACUCUGGAGACCAGGGUUCAAUUCCCAGCUCAGCCA